GUCAUGACAAAAGCUGCUGUGUGUUUUCCCUCCCACGGAGGAAAGCUGGUUUCUUUCUUCAGUUGUAUGGAGGAUGUCAUAAGCCAUUCUCCUUCCAUCUGCCAGUCCUGCUGGGACUUGUUUAGGUGGCCAAUGGAGGAGUGGGCAGAGACCUCUCCCUUAGCAGGGCUCCAAGGAAGGGCCAGUUGAGGUGGUUGGUGGUGGGAGCCAGCAUUCUGUUCCUCUCAGGAGGCCCUGUUUUGAUGGAUGGCGGGGUAGCCUGUGCUGCCCAGCCCACCAGUGGUGGCUGAAGCUGGUGAAGUGUGUCCCUGUUAACUCCACUCUGGGCAGUGAACUGAAGAAGGAGCAAAGCCCAGGAAAUGGACCUUUGGGGGCAGUGGUGAAGGUGAAGUGAUUGGCAGCAAAGCUCACUGCUUGUCUUCAUUCAGUAGUUUAGAGGCAAUGUGCUUGCAACAUUAGCAAGAGAGGCCUGGGAGGGCGAUGGGUUUUCCACAAAGGUGUUAUCUGUGUACAUGUUCUCAUACACAGAUAGCCUUCCAAUUGCAUCUGUAAGAACACUAUUGGGGAGUGAAACUGGUCAAAUUACGUUAUAUGCAUACAUGAAUAUGUUACAACAAAACCCACUAUUCUGUAUAAUGAAUAUGCACCCCAAAACACAUUAAAAAUAAACAUGGGAGCCCAGAUUAAAAAGAAAUGUGU
rnacentral:lncRNA from 1 species